rnacentral:rRNA from 1 species
GAUGAACGCUGGCGGCGUGCCUAAUACAUGCAAGUCGAGCGAACAGACGAGGAGCUUGCUUCUCUGAUGUUAGCGGCGGACGGGUGAGUAACACGUGGAUAACCUACCUAUAAGACUGGGAUAACUUCGGGAAACCGGAGCUAAUACCGGAUAAUAUCUUGAACCGCAUGGUUCAAUAGUGAAAGACGGUUUUGCUGUCACUUCUAGAUGGAUCCGCGCUGCAUUAGCUAGUUGGUAAGGUAACGGCUUACCAAGGCAACGAUGCGUGGCCGACCUGAGAGGGUGAUCGGCCGCACUGGAACUUAGACACGGUCCAGACUCCUGCGGGAGGCAGCAGUAGGGAAUCUUCCGCAAUGGGCGAAAGCCUGACGGAGCCACGCCGCGUGAGUGAUGAAGGUCUUCGGAUCGUAAAGCUCUGUUAUUAGGGAAGAACAUAUGUGUAAUUAACUGUGCACUUCUUGACGGUACCUAAUCAGAAAGCCACGGCUAACUACGUG